rnacentral:rRNA from 1 species
CUAACCCGGGUUUCCGGGAGGCAGUCGCCUAAGGUGGGGCUGGUGAUUGGGACGAAGUCGUAACAAGGUAGCCGUAGCGGAAGCUGUGGCUGGAUCACCUCCUUUCUAGGGAGA